rnacentral:rRNA from 1 species
CCUACGGGCGGCAGCAGUGGGGAAUAUUGGGCAAUGGCCGAAACUCUGACCCAGCCACGCCGCGUGAAGGAUGAAGGUUUUCGGAUUUUACACUUCUGUCGCGAGGGAUGAAGAAUGACGGUACCUCGUAAGACAGCCCCGGCAAACUACGUGCCAGCCGCCGCGGUCAUACGUAGGGGGCGAGCGUUGUCCGGGAUGACUGGGCGUAACGGGAGUGUAGGCGGGAUAUUAAGUUAUGUGUGAAAGGCCGCGGCGCAACGGCGGAAGUGCACAUAAAACUGGUAAGCUGGAGUGCAGGAGAGGUAAGUGGAAUUCGCGGGGUAGCGGUGGAAUGCGUAGAUAUCGGGAGGAACACCAGAGGCGAAGGCGACUUACUGGACUGUAACUGACGCUGAGGCUCGAAAGCGUGGGGAGCAAACAGGAUUAGAUACCCGAGUAGUC